rnacentral:rRNA from 1 species
CAGUCGCCACGGUAAUACGUAGGUCCCGAGCGUUGUCCGGAUUUAUUGGGCGUAAAGCGAGCGCAGGCGGUUAGAUAAGUCUGAAGUUAAAGGCUGUGGCUUAACCAUAGUACGCUUUGGAAACUGUUUAACUUGAGUGCAAGAGGGGAGAGUGGAAUUCCAUGUGUGGCGGUGAAAUGCGUAGAUAUAUGGAGGAACACCGGUGGCGAAAGCGGCUCUCUGGCUUGUAACUGACGCUGAGGCUCGAAAGCGUGGGGAGCAAACAGGAUUAGAUACCCCCGUAGUCCCUGUCUCUUAUACA